CCUACGGGUGGCAGCAGUGGGGAAUAUUGGGCAAUGGGCGCAAGCCUGACCCAGCAACGCCGCGUGAAGGAAGAAUGCUUUCGGGUUUUAAACUUCUUUUCUCAGGGACCACGAAAGUGACGGUACCUGAUGUAUAAGCCACCGCUAACUACGUGCCAGCAGCCGCGGUAAUACGGAGGUGGCAAGCGUUAUCCGGAUUUAUUGGGUGUAAAGGGCGUGUAGGCUGGAUGGUAAGUCAGAUGUGAAAACUCAGGACUCAACCCUGAGACUGCAUUUGAAACUGUGUGUCUUGAGUACUGGAGAGGCAAGCGGAAUUCCGGGUGUAGCGGUGAAAUGCGUAGAUAUAAGGAGGAACACCAGUGGCGAAGGCAGAUUGCUGGACAGUAACUGACGCUGAGGCGCGAAAGCGUGGGGAGCAAACAGGAUUAGAUACCCGUGUAGUC
rnacentral:rRNA from 1 species